rnacentral:rRNA from 1 species
AGAGUUUGAUCCUGGCUCAGAACUAACGCUGGCGGCGUGCCUAACACAUGCAAGUCGUACGAGAAAGUCGGCUUCGGCUGAUUAGUAAAGUGGCGCACGGGUGAGUAACGCGUGGAUAAUCUACCCCUCAGUUGGGAAUAACGUACCGAAAGGUGCGCUAAUACCGAAUAAUACUGCACAUCUUCUGUUGUGUAGUCAAAGAUGGCCUCUGCUUGCAAGCUUUCGCUGAAGGAUGAGUCCGCGUACCAUCAGCUAGUUGGUAGGGUAAUGGCCUACCAAGGCAACGAUGGUUAGCUGGUCUGGGAGGAUGAUCAGCCACACUGGAACUGAGACACGGUCCAGACUCCUACGGGAGGCAGCAGUGAGGAAUAUUGCGCAAUGGGGGCAGCCCUGACGCAGCAACGCCGCGUGAGUGAGGAAGGUUUUCGGACCGUAAAGCUCUGUCGAGCGGGAAGAAAUGCAUGGUGGCUAAUAUCCAUUAUGCUUGACGGUACCGCUAAAGGAAGCACCGGCUAACUCCGUGCCAGCAGCCGCGGUAAUACGGGGGGUGCAAGCGUUGUUCGGAAUCAUUGGGCGUAAAGAGCGUGUAGGCGGCUGGAUAAGUCAGAUGUGAAAGCCCUGGGCUUAACCCAGGAAGUGCAUUUGAAACUGUUCAGCUGGAGUAAGGGAGAGGAAAGUGGAAUUCCUGGUGUAGAGGUGAAAUUCGUAGAUAUCAGGAGGAACACCGGUGGCGAAGGCGACUUUCUGGCCCUAUACUGACGCUGAGACGCGAGAGCGUGGGUAGCAAACAGGAUUAGAUACCCUGGUAGUCCACGCUGUAAACGAUGUUC